GAUGAACGCUGGCGGCGUGCCUAAUACAUGCAAGUCGAGCGAACGGACGAGAAGCUUGCUUCUCUGAUGUUAGCGGCGGACGGGUGAGUAACACGUGGAUAACCUACCUAUAAGACUGGGAUAACUUCGGGAAGCCGUAGCUAAUACCGGAUAAUAUUUUGAACCGCAUUGUUCAAAAGUGAAAGACGGUCUUGCUGUCACUUAUAGAUGGAUCCGCGCUGCAUUAGCUAGUUGGUAAGGUAACGGCUUACCAAGGCAACGAUGCAUAGCCGACCUGAGAGGGUGAUAGGCCACACUGGAACUGAGACACGGUCCAGACGACUAAGGGAGGCAGCAGUAGGGAAUCGUACGCAAUGGGCGAAAGCCUGACGGAGCAACGCCGCGUGAGUGAUGAAGGUCUUCGGAUCGUAAAACUCUGUUAUUAGGGAAGAACAUAUGUGUAAGUAACUGUGCACAUCUUGACGGUACCUAAUCAGAAAGCCACGGCUAACUACGUG
rnacentral:rRNA from 1 species